rnacentral:rRNA from 1 species
AGUGAACGCUGGCGGUAGGCCUAACACAUGCAAGUCGAACGGCAGCACAGUAAGAGCUUGCUCUUACGGGUGGCGAGUGGCGGACGGGUGAGGAAUACAUCGGAAUCUACUUUUUCGUGGGGGGUAACGUAGGGAAACUUACGCUAAUACCGCGUACGACCUACGGGUGAAAGCAGGGGAUCUUCGGACCUUGCGCGAUUGAAUGAGCCGAUGUCGGAUUAGCUAGUUGGCGGGGUAAAGGCCCACCAAGGCGACGAUCCGUAGCUGGUCUGAGAGGAUGAUCAGCCACACUGGAACUGAGACACGGUCCAGACUCCUACGGGAGGCAGCAGUGGGGAAUAUUGGACAAUGGGCGCAAGCCUGAUCCAGCCAUACCGCGUGAGUGAAGAAGGCCUUCGGGUUGUAAAGCCCUUUUGUUGGGAAAGAAAAGCAGCAGGUUAAUACCCCGCUGUUCUGACGGUACCCAAAGAAUAAGCACCGGCUAACUUCGUG